rnacentral:rRNA from 1 species
AGUCGACGGCAGCACGGGGGCAACCCUGGUGGCGAGUGGCGAACGGGUGAGUAAUACAUCGGAACGUGCCCUGUCGUGGGGGAUAACUAGUCGAAAGAUUAGCUAAUACCGCAUACGACCUGAGGGUGAAAGCGGGGGACCGUAAGGCCUCUCGCGACAGGAGCGGCCGAUGUCUGAUUAGCUAGUUGGUGGGGUAAAAGCCUACCAAGGCGACGAUCAGUAGCUGGUCUGAGAGGACGAUCAGCCACACUGGGACUGAGACACGGCCCAGACUCCUACGGGAGGCAGCAGUGGGGAAUUUUGGACAAUGGGGGCAACCCUGAUCCACCAAUGCCGCGUGUGUGAAGAAGGCCUUCGGGUUGUAAAGCACUUUUGUCCGGAAAGAAAUGGCUCUGGUUAAUACCCGGGGUCGAUGACGGUACCGGAAGAAUAAGCACCGGCUAACUACGUGCCAGCAGCCGCGGUAAUACGUAGGGUGCGAGCGUUAAUCGCAAUUACUGGGCGUAAAGCGUGCGCAGGCGGUUUUGUAAGACAGGCGUGAAAUCCCCGAGCUCAACUUGGGAAUGGCGCUUGU